rnacentral:rRNA from 1 species
UGCAAGUCGAGCGAAUGGAUUAAGAGCUUGCUCUUAUGAAGUUAGCGGCGGACGGGUGAGUAACACGUGGGUAACCUGCCCAUAAGACUGGGAUAACUCCGGGAAACCGGGGCUAAUACCGGAUAACAUUUUGAACUGCAUGGUUCGAAAUUGAAAGGCGGCUUCGGCUGUCACUUAUGGAUGGACCCGCGUCGCAUUAGCUAGUUGGUGAGGUAACGGCUCACCAAGGCAACGAUGCGUAGCCGACCUGAGAGGGUGAUCGGCCACACUGGGACUGAGACACGGCCCAGACUCCUACGGGAGGCAGCAGUAGGGAAUCUUCCGCAAUGGACGAAAGUCUGACGGAGCAACGCCGCGUGAGUGAUGAAGGCUUUCGGGUCGUAAAACUCUGUUGUUAGGGAAGAACAAGUGCUAGUUGAAUAAGCUGGCACCUUGACGGUACCUAACCAGAAAGCCACGGCUAACUACGUGCCAGCAGCCGCGGUAAUACGUAGGUGGCAAGCGUUAUCCGGAAUUAUUGGGCGUAAAGCGCGCGCAGGUGGUUUCUUAAGUCUGAUGUGAAAGCCCACGGCUCAACCGUGGAGGGUCAUUGGAAACUGGGAGACUUGAGUGCAGAAGAGGAAAGUGGAAUUCCAUGUGUAGCGGUGAAAUGCGUAGAGAUAUGGAGGAACACCAGUGGCGAAGGCGACUUUCUGGUCUGUAACUGACACUGAGGC